rnacentral:lncRNA from 10 species
UGGCAGGUACCUAUGGUCCCAGCUACUUGGGAGGCUGAGGCAGGAGAAUGGCGUGAACCCGGGAGGUAGAGCUUGCAGUGAGCCGAGAUUGUGCCACUGCACUCCAGCCUGUCUCAAAAAAACAAAAAACAAAAAACAAAAAACAAAAAACAAAACACAGGUGAAUCUCACAAAAUGACACUGAGUGAAAGCAGCUGAGUAAAGAAAACAAACUAAAUGGUUCCAUUUAUACAAAGUUCAAAUAGCAAAACUAAACUACCAAGUUUGGGUGCGAUGUUAGAAAAGUAAGAAAAUGAUUCUCAUAAAAGUCAGGACAGAUGUCACUUUUGAGAAGGAGGAUGCAUAUAGUUGAUUGGGGGAAGUUAAGGGCGGGCUUUCUGGAGUGCUGGCAUUGGUCUAUUUAAUGACCUGAAUGUUCGUGAAAGGGUUAUGCUUUGUGGAUUACAACAACAAAAAGAUGCACCGCUAAAUGAUUUUUCUGUGUGUAUGUUAUAGCUCACAAUAAAAGAAGGUUAAAAACAAACAAUGGUACCUGGUAGUUGAUUGAAUUUGGUGGGGGAGGGGAGAAGAGAGAAAGAAUCAUGGACAAGUCCCAGGUUUCUGACUUGCACAACUGCUUGGGUGGUGAUGCCUUUCACUGAGAUAGCAAACAGCAUUUUUGGAGGAAGAGUAUGAAAUAAAUCUUGGAAAUGCUGAAUUUAGAAUACUUUUGAGACAUCCAAGUAGAGACGUCCAGUAGGCAAUUAGAUAUUAGCAGAUGGAGUACUCAACAGCAGAAGUUGGGGUAGAGAUACAUGUUGGAUUCACCCAUGAGUGAGGCCAUGGACAUGGCUGUGACUGUUUAGGGAAAGAAUAAUGACAGAAGGCCCUAGGGCUGAUUGGUGGAACAUCAAUAUUUAAUGGCCAGAUACAGGAGAAUAAGCCAGUAAAAAAAAAUAAUAAUAAUAAAUAAAUAAAUAAAUAAAAACUGAGAGUAAUAGGAGGAAAAUAAAGAAUUGUCAUGAACCAUUAAGCAAGAGGAAAGAGCAUCUCAAGAGUAAGAAGUCACUCUCUGCAGGUUGAUGCGUAGUUAAGGGGGAAGGACAUGAAUUAUGUGUACUACUCAGCCGGCCAGGUUUUACUCCACCUCUUUCUGGCUGACUUGACACAAGCAACAACCCAACAGAAAACCAAUACUUCUGAGAAUGGCUGCAAGUUUUUAUGUGCUGUCUUCUGUGGUGAGAAGUCUCCUUAGACCAAAAUUAAAGAUGAAAAGAGAAAUGAAAACAGGGAUAGAUGAUGUAAGGCUUUUCCCUCAACUAAUUUACUCUAAUACUAUCUUUGUAAUACAUGUGUUUAGAACAAAACAAUGCCACAAUGAGCAUCUAGGUUAAAACUGUUAUCAGAGAGGCAACUCCAGAAUAAGCAGAUACAAUAUGCUCCUUGAUGGAAAGACCUGCUAGUGAGAACUGACUUUCUCAUAUUCAUCUAUAAAUUUAGCACAAUUGUUAUCAAAAUCUCAAUGGGAUGUGUCUUAGAACUCAUUAGAAUAAUUCUAAAAUUCACCAGAAACAGUAAAUUCAUGAGAAUAGCUAAGAAAAAUUUGAAAAUGAGCAUAUUUGCCCUACCAGAUAUCAAACUUCUAUAAAAAGCCAUGGGGAGAGGAGGUAAUAGAAUAAACACAGACAGACCUGUCACUGGAACAGAACGGAGAAUACAGGAAAAGGCCUCAUGUAUGCAGGAAAGCCUUGUGGCAUUUGAAAUAUGAACAAGUGAGUGAACUGAGAGAGGCAAAAGUCUAUGCAUUUAGGAAAAAUUUAGAUCCCUACCCUUACACUAGACACAAAAGGAAAUUCCAAACAAACCUACAGAGCUCAGUGUGAAAAAAAAAUUUUCACAUAAAAUAUAUGAAAAUUUUUAAAAGAUAAUCUUGAGAUGAAGAAUUUUUUUAUGUGAAAGAUCUGACCAUGUAAAUUAAAACCUCUAUGUAAAGACACUAUAAACAAAAUUAAAAGACAAGUAACAAAUGAGGAGAAAAAUAUGUGUAACACAUAUAACAAAAGAUUAACCAUUGUGAUAUCUAAAAAACUCCUAUAAAGCAAGAAGAAGAAAAGGUAAACAACCCAGAAGGGGAAAAAAUGGGCAAAGGUACGAACAGGCAAUAUCCAGAAGAAAUGCAAAAUUUUUGUCUGUACAAAAAUUAUAUUGUAGACUCAUGUAACACCUAGUAUACUACAUUCUAGGGGAUUAAAGAAGUCAUGUUUUUCAAAACGAACAAACUGCACAUAUUUACACGAUAUCAGAAUGGGAAAUGCCCAUCUGAACUUGAAUCUACAGAAAAAAUUACCAAGAAAAAUCAUUAAAAUUGUCACAGACUUAAAAAAAAAACCUUGGUACUAGCAUUUGUCUAAACCAAUGUGAAAUAUUCUAAGAUUCAUCUAGGCAGGAAAAGAAAUGCAGUUAAUAAAAACAUGAAAACCUCAUUAUCAAACAAGGUGAUUAUAAAUUAAAAAAUGAAUUUUUUAAAUGUGAAAACCAUUAAAUCUUGCUGAUGCUUGGGGAAAAUGCAAAUCAAAACAAUAACAUGACAGUUUUCAUAUAUCAUAUUGGCAAAUAUCUAAAAAAUGAGAAUGCCCAAUAUUGGCAUGGGCACAGGGAACCCAAUAUUCUCUUCCAUUACUGGUGGAAUUUUUAAUAACAUGGGAAAACAGUUGUGAUAUGUUUUUGGUUUUUGGUUUUUUUUUUUUUUUUGAGACAGUCUCACUCUGUCACCCAGGCAGGAGUACAAUGGUAUGAUCUUGGCUCACUGCAACCUCCACCUCCCCAGCUCAAGCAAUUCUCCUGCCUCAGCCUCCCAAGUAGCUGGGACUAUGGGUGUGCAUCAUCACGCCUGGCUAACUUUUGUAUUUUGAGUAGAGACAGGGUUUCAUCAUGUUGGCCAAGGUGGUCUCAAACUCCUGACCUCAGAUGAUCCACCUGCCUCAGCCUCCCAAAGUGCGGGGAUUAUGGCCACCGCACUCAGCCGUGAUAUGUUAAGUGAGGAAAAGACAUAUUAAACAUACAUUAAGAUCUCAUCCAUGUUCUAAAAUAAUAAUAACUAUGUUUUAUGAGUACCUUUAUACCAGGCACUUGUUAUCAAACACUGAAAAAAAUAAGAACAUCUCCAAUCAAUGGUAACAGCUAUAACUGAGGACAGACUUUAUUUCUGGAACAUACAUGUAUCACUUUUCAUCUUAACACUCAUCUAGCAAAGUAGGGUUUUUUGGUUUAUUUGUUUGUUUUUUGAGACAGGGUCUCUCUCUACCACCCAGGCUGGAGGGCAGUGGCACCAUCAUGGCUCACUGUGGACCUCAGCCUCCGAGGCUUAAGUGAUCCUCACACCUCAGCCUCCCAAGAACCUGGAAAUACAGGCAGGCACCACCAUGCCCAGUUAACUUUUGUAUUUUUUGUAGAGACAGGGUUUUGCCCUGUUGCCCAGGCUAGUCUGAAACCUAAGCUCAAGAGAUCUGCCAGGUGUCAGCCUCCCAAAGUGCUGAGAUUACAGGUGUGAGCCACUGCACCAGGCUCCAAGUAGGUGUUAAAAUCCCUAUUUAACAUAAGAAACUGAGGCAUCACGAAGAUAAGGCCACAAGCUAAGAACUCAGAGGGCUGGAAGCCCACACAGAUUCCUUAGAUUUGAGUUCAGUGUACCAAACCAAGGGGACAGGGAGUGCUAACUUAAUGUUAGCUGGCAGGCUGGUGCAGGUUUGCAGCAGAGUUUUCACUGAUUUAUGGGAAAAUGGGGAAUAGUAAGAACAUGAAAGUAAACUUUUUGUUUUUUUUUUUUUUGAGACGGAGUCUCGCUCUGUUACCCAGGCUGGCGUGCAAUGGUGCGAGCUUAAUGCAACCUCCACCUCCGGGGUUCAAGCGAUUCUCCUGCCUCAGCCUCCAGAGUAGCUGGGAUUACAGGUGUAUGCCACCACACCCAGCUAAUUUUGUAUUUUUACUAGAGACGGGGUUUCAGCAUGUUGGCCAGGCUGGUCUGAAAGUAAACUUUUCCAUAUAGCUAAUUGAUUCCAUUUAAAGAUCUUUUAUUCUGAGAGAUUCUGUUCUUUCAAAUUGUUUGAAUGGAAAUAUCCUUUUGUUAAAUGAAAUGAUGGUGAUAGGAGAUAGUGGUGUGUUACUGUUUUUAUUGGCUGUACCUGGUAGAAGUAAAAAAUCAGCAUUUCUAUUGUAGCCUCCUAACUGGGGGGAAAUAUUUCUUUAGAAACCUAAAAGUCUGGAACUUUCCAUCAUUAUGCCUCCCCAGAAUAAUAGAGGACUUUACACACAGAUUACACAUGCCCCUCAAGAUUCUCUCAUUAAUCUCUACCUUAUUCUGUUUGGAUUAAGACAUUUAGGGAUUGUGAAAUGAGAAUAAAGUGAAUUUAAGCAAUCCAAAACCACAUGCUGACUCUGGGUCCUCAAAGAUUGCUUUCUUCAGAAUCUUUUUCAUGUGUUAACUUUCCUCUGGGCUCAAACUUUCUUUUCCUAAAACAGUCACAUCUUUGAGUAUUACUGCUACAUGGCAAUCACUAUCAGAAUAAACUAACUUGAGGCAUCCAAUAAUCAGCUUUCAUUUAAAGUCUCUUUCAGCUUGACAAAAUAAAAACUUUCAAUGAUGUUGUGUCUACCACUUCCAAAAGAAAAUUAGUCUAUAUCCGUACAUAUAUAUGUGAUUAUAUAUGUAUACGUACAUAUGUGAUUUUGAUCAGCCUGUUUAUAAACUACUUGCAAAACAAGCUGAUUUGUAAAUUCAUUUAUUAAAUGAGUAGUUUAUAAAGUACUUGAUUUUUGCAAGCAGUUUAUAAACAGGCUGAUCAAACUGAACAAAUUUCUUAAUUUCACUGUAUAGAUAGCAAAUAAAUUAUUUACUCUUAUUGGCAUAUCUUAUUUUUACCCACCCUCCUUUUGCAAGCUUCUAAGUUAAACUAUUUUAUGUCCACAGCUACACAAUGAAACAUCACUUUCAGUCACAACAUAUUAAAUUCACAUUUAAAACUAUAAAGAGAUCCAGUUACCUUUAGUCUUACAUGUACUUAUAUAUAUUUUUAAUAUACUACUUGAUGUUUUAUGGUGCAAAAACACACAGCUCUUGCAGGAUGCAUUAACUAUGAAAAUAUUUAGAGUGUAUGCUUAUUAAAUGGUUCAAAACUCUCUUUUUAAAAGAAA